rnacentral:rRNA from 1 species
UACGGAGGGGGCUAGCGUUGUUCGGAAUUACUGGGCGUAAAGCGCACGUAGGCGGCUUUGUAAGUUAGAGGUGAAAGCCCAGGGGCUUAACCCUGGAAUUGCCUUUAAGACUGCAUCGCUAGAAUCGUGGAGAGGUAAGUGGAAUUCCGAGUGUAGAGGUGAAAUUCGUAGAUAUUCGGAAGAACACCAGUGGCGAAGGCGACUUACUGGACACGUAUUGACGCUGAGGUGGCGAAAGCGUGGGGAGCAAACAGG